rnacentral:misc_RNA from 1 species
AGCAGCCGCGGUAAUUCCAGCUCCAAUAGCGUAUAUUAAAGUUGUUGCAGUUAAAAAGCUCGUAGUUGAAUUUCGGGAUCAAUAUGUUGGUCGUGCCUUGGUACGUACUGGCAUUAUUGGUUUUUACCUUCUGAAGAACCUCGAUGUCAUUAAUUUGGUGUCUUGGGGAAUCAGGACUGUUACUUUGAAAAAAUUAGAGUGUUUAAAGCAGGCUCGCGCUUGAAUACAUUAGCAUGGAAUAAUGAAAUAGGACGUUUGAUUCUAUUUUGUUGGUUUCUAGGAUUGACGUAAUGAUUAAUAGGGAUAGUUGGGGGCAUUAGUAUUCAAUUGUCAGAGGUGAAAUUCUUGGAUUUAUUGAAGACUAACUACUGCGAAAGCAUUUGCCAAGGAUGUUUUCAUUAAUCAAGAACGAAAGUUAGGGGAUCGAAGACGAUCAGAUACCGUCGUAGUCUUAACCAUAAACUAUGCCGACUAGGGAUCGGGAUGAUGUUAAUUUUUAAUGACUCAUUCGGCGCCUUAC